CAGGCACUCAGCCACCUAGGAAGGCUCCCUGAAGUCUCUAGCUCCAGACAUGUAGGAAGUUUACUCUUUUCUAGUGGCAGACUCAAGGAUAUGACACCUGCUUUUUCAAUCCUGGUUUAGAGGCCAGGGUAUGCUGAUUUAUCAGGAGGCUCAGCUCAGCUCAAGGAAGUCUGGAAGCAAGACCUCCUUAUAGGGACACUCCAGACUGGACACCUCCACCAGGCUGAUGCUUUGCUGAACUUGAAGGCCCUGAGCUAUUUCUCCUCUGAGAUGCCUCUCUGCCAUGUCACCCUGCCUUGGGACCAGCUGACAAUGGACUGAUACCUCUACAAACUAAUGGGAAAAUAAUUUUGCCAGCGAUUCCUCAGAAAGAAUGGCACCAGGUUGGGUCUGCGAGGUUCCCACAACUGAAAUAAGGAAAUGAAGACACUUCACAGAAAAAGUACCAAUGACCAAUACAUGAAGAAAUGAUCACCUUUUGCAGCAGGUAAUAUCCUCCUGUCCAUCGAAAGAUGCAUGAGUUACUUGAUACCCAACUUGGAACGACCCAAUAACCCUAACCAGAAUGUGUGGCUGGGACAGCCACCUAGAAGAGAUGGAAGGAGG
ensembl:lncRNA